GACAGAGGGGGCAAGCGUUGCUCGGAAUUACUGGGCGUAAAGAGCUCGUAGGUGGUUUGUCGCGUUGUUCGUGAAAACUCACAGCUCAACUGUGGGCGUGCGGGCGAUACGGGCAGACUGGAGUACUGCAGGGGAGACUGGAAUUCCUGGUGUAGCGGUGGAAUGUGCAGAUAUCAGGAGGAACACCGGUGGCGAAGGCGGGUCUCUGGGCAGUAACUGACGCUGAGGAGCGAAAGCGUGGGGAGCGAACAGG
rnacentral:rRNA from 1 species